rnacentral:rRNA from 1 species
AGUGAACGCUGGCGGUAGGCCUAACACAUGCAAGUCGAACGGCAGCACAGUAAGAGCUUGCUCUUACGGGUGGCGAGUGGCGGACGGGUGAGGAAUACAUCGGAAUCUACUUUUUCGUGGGGGAUAACGUAGGGAAACUUACGCUAAUACCUCAUACGACCUACGGGUGAAAGCAGGGGAUCUUCGGACCUUGCGCGAUUGAAUGAGCCGAUGUCGGAUUAGCUAGUUGGCGGGGUAAAGGCCCACCAAGGCGACGAUCCGUAGCUGGUCUGAGAGGAUGAUCGGCGACACUGGAACUGAGACACGGUCCAGGCUCCUACGGGAGGGAGCAGUGGGGAAUAUUGGGCAAAGGGGGCAAGCCUGAUCCAGCCAUACCGCGUGGGUGAAGAAGGCCUUCGGGUUGUAAAGCCCUUUUGUGGGGAAAGAAAAGCAGCAGGUUAAUACCCCGCUGUUCUGACGGUACCCAAAGAAUAAGCACCGGCUAACUUCGUG